rnacentral:rRNA from 1 species
UACGUAGGGGGCUAGCGUUAUCCGGAAUUACUGGGCGUAAAGGGUGCGUAGGUGGUUUCUUAAGUCAGAGGUGAAAGGCUACGGCUCAACCGUAGUAAGCCUUUGAAACUGGGAAACUUGAGUGCAGGAGAGGAGAGUGGAAUUCCUAGUGUAGCGGUGAAAUGCGUAGAUAUCACGCAGAACCCCGAUUGCGAAGGCAGCCUUCCGGCGCCCUACUGACGCUGAGGCACGAAAGUGCGGGGAUCGAACAGG